rnacentral:lncRNA from 1 species
CAUUACUUUACAGCUUACACCAAGUAUCCUUCAAUGUAUACCUGAAAAUAUUUAAAAUAUAAAAAUUAUCGAAAUAUGCGAGUCAAAAUAACAUAACUGUAAAUCCGAAACAUAAGAACUCUUACUUUACCAUUAAUUAUCUAAAAAAUAAAUGAGCGCACACAUAUUUACUUUAUGAAUAAUGCAACGCUUUGAAAGACCUCCUCACCUUAUAUAUUAUUCCAGUUCUCGGUCCUAAUAAAAGUUUUGAGAAAAGAUAUCACUACCUGAUCCUCAACCUUCAUAUGUUUUGAGAAAAGCUUGGCAGCAUGACAUUCUUUAGUCAAAGGUCGCAAACCCCUGCAGUAGCAAAAGAAACAUUAUACACAAACUACUCAAUUUGACUACUGUCAUAAGUUUCUCUCUCCCAUUUUCUCUACCUGAAGUAAUUUUUUUAGAAUUAUGAAUAAACUGAUAUUAAUGAGAAUGUUCGACUGUGUUAUUUUUCAUUAAGACUCAAUUCAAAGCUUUAGCCUUUGUUUGAAUUUCUGGAUCCUAAGACAAAGUCACAGACACUCAUUUUAAUUGGUUUACAUAAUUAAAGAAAUCAUUUUUCCUUUUGAUCAUAGAAAAGAAAGCAUGAUGGAGAUGGAGAUGUAACAUCAGAACGACCAAUUUCUUCUGGUCAUUAUGUUUAUUACUGAUUAUUAGGAGUCAGUCUAUACCUAAUGCUAAGCUUGAAAAAAAUAAACUUCCAUGAAAAAGAAAUCUACAAUACUAAUCUGCAAAAAUAAAUGUAUACCAAAAAACAAUCUAUAAUUAUGAAAGUGAUCCAAAUUUUCACUUAACUCAAUAUGAAAGUACAUAGCUUAAUUUUUUUUAAAGUACAUCAUAAUUCAUUAGCGUUCAUUUUCCAGUUUCAGACAUAAUUCAUAUAAGGUUAUAAUUUCUCCUUUACUUUCAGAACUCACAAUUUCUUGUUUUCUCUUUUAUACUAUAAGACAAUGAGUGCACAAAUAAACCACCCUCACCAAGAAAAGACACAAAUAAGCACUUAAAAAAGAGUAUAAAUAAGUUAUGUUCCGGGAAUAUUUAUGUCAACAGUAAAUUAAGAUGGCUCAAGUUAAGAUAGGUUGUUUCAAUAUGUUCAAGGACUAAAUGCUACUUUUGGGCUCAAUAUGACCUUAAAAUUUAAGGUUAAUAUCAAUAGUACUCGUGGGACAGUAAAUUUGAGACUUGAUUCUCAUCUCCGGCAACUAUAACUACGACAGCUCGUAAUAUUGGACUUGCGGACUAUUUUCCAUUACCAAGCAUCUAAGAGCGAAUCUAAUCAGGUACUUUUCAGUUUUUAAUCUCUCUCAAAAUGAUAAUAUUAAGUGCUGCUAAUUAGUUUUGAAAUUAGGGUAUUGGAAAUUUGAAUUAGAAACAUCCCAAUUCGAGGGUUUUGAUUUUGAUAUGAAUUUUGAUAUUGGGUAGGGAAAAUGUUAAUCAAAAAUUCUAAUUUCAAGAUUACUAAAGGAGUAGACUAAAGGUACGUCAUACAUUAAAACUAACAAAUGAAGAGCAUUUCAAAUCAAGAAUCUGACAAAAUAAUUUUUCUACCAAGAAAGAAGUUUGUUGAUUGCUUGGAACGUAACAAAAGUCAUGAACCAAUUACCUGACCUAAGUUGCAAAACAUUAAAAAAGGUAAUAAUAUUUACACCGAGUCCAACAACACCUCCGGAUAUACGAUAUUUGUCGUGGUAGAUGAUCCAUUAGGAGGGAGAAGGACACUGAUGCGAUCAGCCGACGUGCACCUAGACAUGGCCACAUACAGGUGACCGUGGCUGAAUACAGGCAAGCGCAGAUCUACACCAACAAACUUGACUGACUGUCCUUGCGACUUAUUGAUUGUCAUAGCAUAUGUUAAGCGUACUGGGAAUUGGCGUCUAGUCAUUUGAAAUGGUAAAUCUUUGGACGACGGUGAUAAUGAUAUCUGCGGGAUGAAACACAGAUUCGAAGAUUUGUCACCAGUUAGUAUUCUAGCCUCAAUAACCCGCGAUGCACACUUGACAACCAUUAGUCUGGUCCCAUUACAGAGUCCAUCUUUCGGGGCUAUAUUCCUCAACAAUAUGAUUGGGCACCCGACCUUUAGCUCCAACUUGAAAGGCGGUAAACCUGGCGGGUUUAGAGAAUUUAGAAACUCACUUGGAUAUUGAUUAGUGGUAGAACGACAUAGUUCGUCCCCAUCUGACACUUUGUCAGCUGCCAAGUAGGUAUACAUCUCGCCAGGAUAAAUUUGUAGAGCAGCAUCAUUGAUGGCGCAUACAUCAUCAUUCCGAGCAGAAAGAAUUAUGCGCUCAGUUAAGUAGGAUGGGGUUACCACACUUAGCACAUCUAGUUGUGGAUAAACUCUGGAAAUUAGUUCAUGCAGAGUUCGACACCUGUGUAUCGUUGGAGGAAGUUCCACAGUAUCUUGCGUACUGAUCCCAAUCUAAGUAUGAUGUGAAACAUAUCAGUACAUAUAAAUGAAUAAUUAAAUGAAUAAUCUGUAAUAAAAAUCACCUCUUCCAAGAAGGAUGCGUGAGAAGAAUUUGCAGGAUGAUUGAUAUUCAGACGCAUGUUUAUGCUCAAAGUCAAUACGCACACACUCGCCCACAUUGUAAAACGUCUUAAAGAUGCACCAACAAUUUGUUAUCGACGACCCUUAGGUAUCACAGGUAGUAUUUGACGAAAAUCCCCACCAAGCACAAUCGUGAUACCACCGAAUGGUCGGUUAUCAUCACGGACAUCACGAAGUGUGCGAUCAACUGCCUCAACACCAUGUCGAUGCUGCAUGGGGACUUCGUCCCAUAUUAUCAAGUAAGCCUCCCUAAAUAAUUCCCCAUGCGGUGACUGUUUGCUGAAACCACAUACCGAGCUUUCUAUGAUAUCGAAUGGAAUGCAAAAUGUAGAAUGAGCUGUCCGACCGCCUAACAACAACAACGAUGCAAUUCCUGAUGAAGCAACUGUAACGACGAUAUGACCCUCGCUGCGCAUUUUAGUGGUGAUGGUGUUGUACAAAAAGGUUUUCCCAGUUCCUGCACCUCCACUGAGGAAAAACAUUUUGCCCUGAUUUUCAGCAACGGAGAUAGUGAUAGCAUCAUAAGCCGUACGUUGAGCAUUAUUUAAAACAUCAAUAUUCAAAAGGUCAUUCAGUUGAUUAGCUUCAUUUCGUAGUUGCAUAUGAUCGAUCAACAAUCUAUUACCUGAAACAGAACUCCAAUUUUGAACAGGGUGUGGCAUAGGUGGGAAGUCAUCCAAUUUUUUGCCAGAUUCAUGUAGCAACUGAUCAAUCAAAUAUAAACCGUAAUCUUCGAUUUGAGACUGUGUUGGAUCGUAUAUGCCAAAAGUUGUUUGUAGCUUGUGACGAAGAUCAUCACAUAUAUGAACGGAGAAUUGAUUCCACAGAGUGCAUGGCUGUAUUGGGGAGCAUUCUACCAGAAUGAUGCAAAAUAGUCUCCGUAACUGGUAUCCCGUAUUCAUGGUUGAAGCCUCCUGGCGGCAUUGUAUCCACUCUGCAUCAUCUUCCAGGAGCCCCAUAGCUACACACGCUGAUUUAAAACUAUCAUGAAACACAUCGUUGAUCGUGCGUAGACCGUCAAAAGAAUGCGGUCCUCUGACAACUGUUAAUAGCAAUCGAAGGUAAAAUCGCUCCCCAGAAUUGGGCGUAACAAAGUAUAAUCUGCCAAUUGCAAACCCACUCUGUCUCGGAGUCCAAAUCUUCCGACCUUUGUUCCAAACGAAAUGUUGGGGAAAUUCUUGGUAUGUGUAGGCACGUGCAACAUCAUUUGAAGAACAACAGUCAAAGAAUCCAGUCAGAGUUGUGAUUUGACUCCUAGACCCAAGUCUUAUUGUUUCAAGUGUUUUAGUAGGAUCGUAAACAACUUGAUGCAUCCCAGGUAAAUGUAGAUCUAGCCGUACAACCGAAGGAAUUUCUUCAUGAAGAGGAUAACCGAAGAGUCGCCAUGCAGCCUCUGUCGGUCCAAUAUACCUUGCAUCAAGGUAUUGCUUUAUCUCAUUGUUUCCAUCUGGUCCCUCUAAAACCAUAGUUGUGCGGUCAUGACCUUUGUAAAUGUACUUGUGGAUAUAUUUGACGCACCUCAUUCCUGCACAGACCUCCACAUUUAUAUGACAGUUGAACUUUCUUGAUAGGUGUGGAUUGUAAGGUACGACGUCUCGAUUAUCAAAUGUAUGCCCUCUGGUGGUGUAAGACUGACCAUUACGGCGACGACGGUAAACAGGGUACCCAUGUUCAUCCAUAGUAGUCGAAUCUGCAAAGGCUUUUGGAUAAUGGAACCGGCAUGCACCGUUCACCAUGCAAGUUGAAUAAGGGUUUCGAGAACCACAGGGACCAUGAACCAUACAACUCUUGAUUGUUUCGUACAGAGUUGGAUCAGUGGAUGGAUCUGGGAAUUCAGCACUAACUAACCGAUCCACUUGUGCAGUUGUCUGAAUCUUGUCAGGGCCAUGAAGAAAGAAUAAAGCAUGCAUAUGUGGUAACCCUCGUUUUUGGAACUCAAUGGUGAAUACAUGAGCAACUUUUCGACCAAAAAUCUGUUCAUUUUUUACCUCAUGCAUCAGGGCACGCCGUUUUAACUCAAAUACACGGGCAACUAUGUCUGGACGAUCCAAAGAGGUUUGGUGUUCUAGUAAGGCAGCUGUUAUUUCGGGCCAUUUUGGGUUGGCCGUCAUGGUGAGAAAGAUGUCAGGGUGUUGGUGGUACCUUGUAAUGGCCAUAGAGUCAUGAAAAAUCUGGCUCAUGUUACGUGCACUCCCAGUAAAGGACGAUGGCAGAACAAAGCGUUGUCCGAUCUGAUCGGGGCCCAACUCAUCAACACUGCCGUCACACAAAUUUGCAUAAAUCUCACGACGCAACUUAUCCUGAUUGAGUCUGAUGUAAGACAACCUGUUUUGCUCCGUUGAUGCCCAAGCAUCUACUAUAAACUCUUGAAAUAACUUUCCUCCUCUAAGAAUCGUCGAAUACUCGGUGGGACGUGGAAACAUACGAUAGCUGUAAAAUUGCAUUUGUGUCAUCCUUCUUACUGCAAAAUCAUUUUGUUCGGAGUUCCACUGUCGUAGACCAGGUUCCCAACCAAGCUCACCAGUAGGGAAUAGAAGAACAUAGUGUAAUGGUAAAUAUGCUGGAUGACACUCAUUGAUCUGGCUCAGGGCUCUAUUAUCUCCUUUUAGGUGCAGAAUAAUAUCCCGCAUACCACUACUCUCACUACCAUCACCAGGCAAAAUCACAGCUAUUUCAUCAGUGGUUGGAAGAUUGUACCGAUGCCUAUCAGUUGAUGAGGUGUAAUGAAGGUGAGCACGUAAAUCAUGAUCUGAAGAUUCUGACUCAGUUAGUAUUUCAUGGGCACGUUUGUACUUUGAAGCAAAAUGAUUCACUGACAACAAACAAUUCUGUAUAGUGUGGAGGACAUCUCGACAUAAGUUAUUAUUCUGCGCACACCGAAUAUUCAAUGCAGUGGUUGGGUCAUAUAUGUACAACUGACAGUAGAUGGGUGCGCGACCAUCCGGGGGUAACAAUGACCCGGUACGGUGUCGUAAUUCUCCAUAGAUAGUGAAUGAUGUUGGCCCUCUUGAGUUGAGUAAUCUGUCAUCAAGCUUAGCACCCAAGCUCGUGAAAGCAUUAGCUGCAUUGUACUCCCUAAUAUGCCGACGGAAUGAUUUUGCUUGACCAUCAUGGCCAUCGUACAAUGCACGAAUAGGAGGUGGGGGUGCAAUGAGUUCCGGUAACUUAAUUUUGCCUUGUAGACAACAUGUUCCGAAUCUUGGAUUAGACAAUCCUGUGCGAGAUAAUCGUUCAUCCCGCCAAUGUAAGGCUGAACAAUAAGGACACUGAAUAUUCAUAGGCCCGAGAAAAUGACGCUCAUUAUUGACAGGGACAAUAAUAUUCAUUUCGUCAUCACUAAACAUACAGUCAACAUCGCUAAAGGGUUCUGGUGGGAAUCUACAAAUAAAAAUAAUAUGUACAUAAAUAUGAGAAGUAAGAAAAUAGUAGGCAACUAAUAAACUGUGUAGAAUAUACAUACACUGUUAGAUCUGCCAGAACAGGAGACGAUGUCAUGAGGACAUUGUCGUUAGUUUGAUGAGAAUGCGGUUCUACAUCGGGGACAACUUCAUAUUGAGCAAAUUCUGUCUCUAAAUUUCGAGGCGAGGAUAAAGGUCGCACCAGAACAGGUGAAAAUAGAGCAAAUUCAGUUGGAUUAAAAACUGGGUCGGACGCAAUUGUAGGUGUUAGAUAGCAUUCCAAAUUAUUUGUCCGCGACCUUUUUUGUGGAAGGUGUGCUAUAGUGGCUCGGUGCAAUGGAGUUAGGUCUUGCAAAACAUGACAUACCGGUAUUUUCCUAUGCAACUAUCCAACAGGGGAAAAAGACAAUACAUUACAACUUAAUCAAAAAACUUGCCAAAGAGUUAGACAUAUUUUCUUUUCCAUUUUUCCGACAAUUAGUGGGCGUGUGACAUACUUUCGACGUUGAAGGUGCAUUAUGAUUGCUAAUAAUUUGUGUUUCCCGCACAAGUACACAUUCAUUCUGGCGUUGCAGAUAGUUAGUAAAUGACAAUAGUAAAUGUACCUCGACAUUGCACAACUGAGUAGGCGAAUGUGAGGGGACUGCAGUAACCAUGUUAGGAAGUUGGACUUGGGUGGUGUCUUUGGGUAGAGAUUGAGUGUAAUUCCCAGAAUGCUCUCUUUCCCGACGUGCGCGCUGUGAUAGCUUACGUCGCGAGCACGUACUACUAUCAAUGCGAUUUCGUUCACGUCUGGCGCGUUGGGCCUUAAUUUUAGAGGAAGCGAAAUUUGGUGCAGGAGUCUAAAAUAGGAAGUGAUGUGUGGAAUAAAUUAAAUUUAUGAUAAGAACAAAAAAAUUAAGAAGAUUAAAUAAGACUCUAUAAUAUGUAAGAAUGGCUAAAGAAACCAUUACAUAAUUUGGACAAUAUGUUAGCAGGUCCAAAAUCAAAUCCAUGUAAGAAUAGAGUCAUGUGUGCGUGAGAGAGAUGUGUAAGAGUGAGAGUGAGGGGUGAGGAACUCAAAAAUAUCACCGACAAUAUAGUGUAUAUCGCUCUAACCAAAAUAAGGCAUUAAGUUAUCAUGUCCAAAAAGCAUUAAUUUUUAAAAUCAAAUUCAUGUGUGCGCGAGAGAGAAGGGUAAGGGUGAGAGAGACUGAGGGGUGAGGAACUAAAAAAUAUCAGCGACAAUUUAGUGUAUAAUGCUCUAACCGAUUUUUAUCAACAGAUAAACAAUGAUUAGUACAACAUACCGAUUGAUUGCUCCAAUUUUCUUUUCCAAUAGAACAACCAAGCUUUGCUUUCCCUUUCGUUGAAGAUGGAAUAAAACUUGG